rnacentral:rRNA from 1 species
GACGAACGCUGGCGGCGUGCUUAACACAUGCAAGUCGAACGGUAAGGCCCUUUCGGGGGUACACGAGUGGCGAACGGGUGAGUAACACGUGGGUGAUCUGCCCUGCACUUUGGGAUAAGCCUGGGAAACUGGGUCUAAUACCGGGUAGGACUACGCACUGCAUGGUGUGUGGUGGAAAGCGUUUGCGGUGUGGGAUGGGCCCGCGGCCUAUCAGCUUGUUGGUGGGGUGAUGGGCUACCAAGGCGACGACGGGUAGCCGGCCUGAGAGGGUGUCCGGCCACACUGGGACUGAGAUACGGCCCAGACUCCUACGGGAGGCAGCAGUGGGGAAUAUUGCACAAUGGGCGCAAGCCUGAUGCAGCGACGCCGCGUGAGGGAUGACGGCCUUCGGGUUGUAAACCUCUUUCGGUAGGGACGAAGCGGAAGUGACGGUACCUAUAGAAGAAGGACCGGCCAACUACGUGCCAGCCGCCGCCGUAAGAC